rnacentral:rRNA from 1 species
CUCUAAUAGAAAUAAUUAUUAGUAAAAUCUGCUCAAUGAUAUUUCAAUAGCCGCAAUUAUAUUGUGCUAAGGUAGCAUAAUCAUUUGUCUUUUAAUUAAAGACUAGAACGAAAGAUUCAACUUUUAAACCACUUUCUCAUAACACCCCCUAUAAAUUAUCUUAAAUAUAAUAAGAUAUUUAUUUUUAAAAAAGACGAUAAGACCCUAUUGAAUUUAACUUUAGUUUAACUGGGGCAGUUAAUUAAUAACCAUUUUAAUUAUUAAUACAAGCAAAAAGACCCGAUACAGCCGACUUAAUGACCAAAUUACCAUAGGGAUAACAGCGUAAUAAAAUUUUUAAGCUCAUAUUCAAAAUUCUGAUUGCGACCUCGAUGUUGAAUAAUCUCACCUAUUAAAAGCAACAUUUUAUUAAGGAAGUCUGUUCGACUUUUAAUUUUUUACA